CCCCCCCCACUCCAGCCUUCUGCGCGGUGCACACGAAUCUACGGUUGCUCAUCAUGCUCUCGGGUAUUCAAGCCACGCCCCUAGAGACCGCCAAUCAACAAGACGGCGUGCAAGGCAGCUCGCAGGCGGGGUUUGCGAAGCGAUCGCAACGGCGGGGCCCUCCUGGUGAAAGGAUGUUUCGGGAAUAUCGGCGUCGGAGGACUGCGGGACCAGCAGGACUAAACCACCUGCCCUUUGACCCUGGCAAUAGCAAACCUCUGCCAUUCAAUAGCAGCCCUGCUGAAAAUGGAGGCGAGGCAAGCCAGAAACGGAAGAGGAUAAAUUUGCCUACAGACAGCAUCCCAAAUCUGAAUCUAGAGUCUCCUCCAAUGGAUUUGGGCAUGUCAGACCCAACAGCCUGGACCACUGCAAUGAAUAACUUGGGGAUGGCACCAAUGGGAAUAACAGGAGAUCCUCUUUUGCCUGACUUCGACCCUGCGCUUGGAAUGAUGACUGGGAUCCCACCAAUCAGUCCCUUGAUGCCUGGCUUGGAAAUAGUGCCACCACCAGUGAUUAAGGAGAUCAUACAUUGCAAAAGUUGCACACUCUUCCCACCUAACUCAAAUCUCCCUCCUCCCACCACAAGGGAAAGACCUCCUGGAUGCAAGACGGUAUUUGUUGGAGGACUGCCAGAAAAUGCAACAGAAGAGACUGUUGUGGAGAUUUUUGAGCAGUGUGGAGAGAUCUUAGCGCUUCGGAAAAGCAAAAAGCACUUCUGCCACAUCCGUUUUUCUGAGGAAUACAUGGUGGACAAGGCUAUUUAUUUGUCUGGAUAUCGCAUCAGGCUGGGCUCCAGCACUGAUAAAAAGGACACAGGGCGCCUGCAUGUGGAUUUUGCUCAAGCCCGGGAUGAUUUCUACGAGUGGGAAUGCAAGCAGCGGAUGCUUGCCCGGGAAGAGCGUCAUCGGAGAAGGAUGGCAGAAAAGCAGUUCCACCCUCCCUCCCCACCUCCUGUUGUCCACUAUUCGUAUUAUGAGUGCAGUAUUGUUGCUGAGAAGCUAAAAGAUGAUUCCAAGUUUUUGGAAGCGGUGCAGACACUGUUGGCCUGGAUAGAGCGUGGGGAAGUGAACAGACGGACUGCAAACAACUUCUACUCAAUGAUCCAGUCGGUCAACAGCCACAUCCGCCGGCUUACAAAUGAGAAAGCAGUCCAUGAAAAGGAAAUGGAAGAAGCAAAGGAGAAGUUCAAGGUUGCACUCUCAGGAAUUCUUGCUCAGUUCGAGCAGAUAGUGGCCGUGUACCAUUCUGCAUCCAAACAAAAGGCUUGGGACCAUUUCACGAAAGCGCAACGUAAGAACAUCAGCGUAUGGUGCAAGCAAGCUGAGGAAAUCCGCAACAUUCAGAAUGAUGAGCUGAUGGGCAUCCGACGAGAAGAGGAAAUGGAAAUGUCUGACGACGAGACAGAACCAUCAGAUGCCAAGGAGAUGGAAGAGUCAGCUCUAAUAUCUCAAGCAGAAGCUCUGAAGGAAGAAAAUGACAGCUUAAAAUGUCAGCUUGAUGCCUACAGGAAUGAGGUGGAUCUCUUAAAGCAAGAGCAGGGCAAAGUGGACAGAGAUGAAGACAUAAGCAAAGACCAGAAAUUAAAGAUUCUCCAGCAGGCUUUGCAAGGCAUGCAGCAGCAUCUCCUGAAACUCCAAGAUGAAUGUGAAAGAAGAGAUGCUGAACUGGAAAAAGUCAAUGAAGAAAAAGCACAACUCGACAAAUUGCUUGAAAGCCUAAAUGAAAAGCAAGAGCUGGCUUCUGGACCAGAAUGGGGGAAAGACUCCAAUGAUCAAGACCACGUGAGUUUCGCCAACGACUUUUCACCAGCUUGCUCAGUGUGCCAGGAGAAGGAGAGCACACUUGAGAGAGGACUCAACAGCAGCCCUAUCAAAUCAGAAAGGGAAGCUUUGCUAGUGGGAAUAAUCUCAACCUUCUUGCACGUUCACCCUUUUGGAGCGAGCAUUGAAUACAUCUGUUCCUACCUCCAGCGCCUUGAUAGCAAGGAAAUAGAUAUAUUCCAGCUGUAUUGCAAGUGAUUGAUACGAAACUUUGUACCCAACUUUUAUAUGGCACCCCAGUGUGGAUUUCAGGUGACCUUAAGAGGUUGGAUAAAUUCCAUGCAUCUCUUCUGAGAUUUGUGCUAGUGAAGUGGAAGCCCUCAUGAUGCGACUCCAGCACACUUUCAAGCAGGAGAUGAGUGGUGUUGGAGCAAGCCUUGAAAAAA